rnacentral:rRNA from 1 species
GAUGAACGCUGGCGGCGUGCUUAACACAUGCAAGUCGAACGAAGAUGCCGGAGUGCUUGCACUUUGGCAGACUGAGUGGCGGACGGGUGAGUAACGCGUGGGUAACCUGCCUUAUACAGGGGGAUAACAGUUGGAAACGACUGCUAAUACCGCAUAAGCGCACGGUAUCGCAUGAUACAGUGUGAAAAACUCCGGUGGUAUAAGAUGGACCCGCGUCUGAUUAGCUUGUUGGUGAGGUAACGGCCCACCAAGGCGACGAUCAGUAGCCGGCCUGAGAGGGUGGACGGCCACAUUGGGACUGAGACACGGCCCAAAACUCCUACGGGAGGCAGCAGUGGGGAAUAUUGCACAAUGGGGGAAACCCUGAUGCAGCGACGCCGCGUGAGUGAUGAAGUAUUUCGGUAUGUAAAACUCUAUCAGCAGGGAAGAUAAUGACGGUACCUGACUAAGAAGCACCGGNUAAAUACGUGCCAGCAGCCGC